AAGAAGGGAAAACCGCAGCCAGAUUCGUGGCCACCGGGGGAGGAGCCAGGCCGACUACACAAGGCCUGAGGGGGCUUUAGGGGGCCGGGGACGACGGAAACGCUGUGACUGGGCGCCGACGAGGGCUGCACGACGCCGCGAACGUGCGCAAAGCGCCGAGCUGUGCACUCACCAGACGCAGGGUUCCAGCGUGAAGCCCGCACCUCGAGAGGCUGGCCGCCCCAGCCGCCGUGCGGCCGGUUCCUGGACCCAGCGCCUCGCCUCCCCAGGCCUCCUCCGGGCGAAGGCAGCGCGGGGCCUCGGAAACCCCAAGUUCGAGAGAAGACCCGUGCCGAACGGGCGUGGGGGCGGCCCCCGACUUCGGCAGCUGCUCCCGUAAGGCUUCGCGCUCCCGAAAAGCCCGGCGGGCCAGGCAGCAGCCCCGGCAACAGACACGGCGCGGGAGCGAGGCCGCACGGGCACCGGGGAACGCCUGACUUCCGACGGGCUGGGUCCAGCGCAACGCCUGACGGGGCCGCCAGGGCGGCGGUCUGGAGGACACCGCGAGGGCUGCCGCCGGGGAGGGGAAGCCCACGUCCUGAAGAAGCCCCGCGGCGCCAGGCGCGACCGCGCUGACCUCAGGAGCAGAAAAGAGACGCCAAGAGGGAGGGCGCAUCGCCCCACGCCAUGGCCCAAUAUAACAACGGGCCGCGAGGCCCUCUGCGCAUGCGCCCCGGGCCUGCCUUCCCUCUAGGCCCAAACCAGCCGUUGGAGUUCCCGGUAUUCACCCACGCCUGUGGACUAGUCGCCAGGUUCCUCUGUAGAGGAUAGCCAGCAGGACCAUGGCCUCCAUUUAGAACGGUCUUAGAGCCCCCGGUCUCUUAACUCGUGCCCUGCUCACGCAGGAAUACAGGAGAAAGACACAGCAACAAGCACAUCCGGGACAUUUAUCUGGACAUGCAGGAGAAAGGCUUUCAUUACCUUUUGGUGAAGGAUGGUUGCGUAUUGUAGCUCUAUCUUCGACAUUCAAUAAAUAUUCAAUUCAUUGUUAA
rnacentral:lncRNA from 1 species